GACGAACGCUGGCGGCGUGCCUAAUACAUGCAAGUCGAGCGGACGAAUCGAAAGCUUGCUUUUGAUUCGUUAGCGGCGGACGGGUGAGUAACACGUGGGCAACCUGCCCUGUAGACGGGGAUAACACCGAGAAAUCGGUGCUAAUACCGGAUAACACGAAAUGUCGCAUGACGUUUCGUUGAAAGACGGCGCAAGCUGCCGCUACAGGAUGGGCCCGCGGCGCAUUAGCUAGUUGGUGAGGUAACGGCUCACCAAGGCGACGAUACGUAGCCGACCUGAGAGGGUGAUCGGCCACACUGGGACUGAGACACGGCCCAGACUCCUACGGGAGGCAGCAGUAGGGAAUCUUCCGCAAUGGACGAAAGUCUGACGGAGCAACGCCGCGUGAGCGAGGAAGGCCUUCGGGUCGUAAAGCUCUGUUGUUAGGGAAGAACAAGUAACGCAGUAACUGGCGUUACCGUGACGGUACCUAACGAGAAAGCCACGGCUAACUACGUG
rnacentral:rRNA from 1 species